rnacentral:rRNA from 1 species
AGAGUUUGAUCCUGGCUCAGGACGAACGCUGGCGGCGUGCUUAACACAUGCAAGUCGAACGCUGAAGCCCGAGCUUGCUCGGGUGGAUGAGUGGCGAACGGGUGAGUAACACGUGAGUAACCUGCCCAUGUCUCUGGGAUAAGCGCUGGAAACGGCGUCUAAUACUGGAUACGAGCAUCCACUGCAUGGUGAGGUGUUGGAAAGAUUUAUCGGACAUGGAUGGACUCGCGGCCUAUCAGCUUGAUGGUGAGGUAAUGGCUCACCAUGGCGACGACGGGUAGCCGGCCUGAGAGGGUGACCGGCCACACUGGGACUGAGACACGGCCCAGACUCCUACGGGAGGCAGCAGUGGGGAAUAUUGCACAAUGGGCGCAAGCCUGAUGCAGCAACGCCGCGUGAGGGAUGACGGCCUUCGGGUUGUAAACCUCUUUUGUCAGGGAAGAAGCCUUCGGGUGACGGUACCUGGAGAAAAAGCACCGGCUAACUACGUGCCAGCAGCCGCGGUAAUACGUAGGGUGCAAGCGUUGUCCGGAAUUAUUGGGCGUAAAGAGCUCGUAGGCGGCUUGUCGCGUCUGCUGUGAAAACCCGAGGCUCAACCUCGGGCCUGCAGUGGGUACGGGCAGGCUAGAGUGCGGUAGGGGAGAUUGGAAUUCCUGGUGUAGCGGUGGAGUGCGCAGAUAUCAGGAGGAACACCGAUGGCGAAGGCAGAUCUCUGGGCCGCUACUGACGCUGAGGAGCGAAAGCAUGGGGAGCGAACAGGAUUAGAUACCCUGGUAGUCCAUGCCGUAAACGUUGGGAACUAGAUGUAGGGCCUGUUCCACGGGUUCUGUGUCGUAGCUAACGCAUUAAGUUCCCCGCCCGGGGAGUACGGCCGCAAGGCUAAAACUCAAAGGAAUUGACGG